ACGAACGCUGGCGGCGUGCUUAACACAUGCAAGUCGAGCGAUGAAGCUUCUUCGGAAGUGGAUUAGCGGCGGACGGGUGAGUAACACGUGGGUAACCUGCCUCAUAGAGGGGAAUAGCCUUCCGAAAGGAAGAUUAAUACCGCAUAAGAUUGUAAUAUCGCAUGAUAUAGCAAUUAAAGGAGUAAUCCGCUAUGAGAUGGACCCGCGUCGCAUUAGCUAGUUGGUGAGGUAACGGCUCACCAAGGCGACGAUGCGUAGCCGACCUGAGAGGGUGAUCGGCCACAUUGGGACUGAGACACGGCCCAGACUCCUACGGGAGGCAGCAGUGGGGAAUAUUGCACAAUGGGGGGAAACCCUGAUGCAGCAAACCGCCGCGUGAGUGAUGACGGUCUUCGGAUUGUAAAGCUCUGUCUUCAGGGACGAUAAUGACGGUACCUGAGGAGGGAGCCACGGCUAACUACGUGCCAGCAGCAGC
rnacentral:rRNA from 1 species